rnacentral:rRNA from 1 species
GACGAACGCUGGCGGCGUGCCUAAUACAUGCAAGUCGAGCGAAUCUUGAGGUUCUUGCACCUCUUGGUUAGCGGCGGACGGGUGAGUAACACGUGGGCAACCUGCCUGUAAGACUGGGAUAACUUCGGGAAACCGGAGCUAAUACCGGAUAAUCCUUUUCCUCUCAUGAGGAAAAGCUGAAAGUCGGUUUCGGCUGACACUUACAGAUGGGCCCGCGGCGCAUUAGCUAGUUGGUGAGGUAACGGCUCACCAAGGCGACGAUGCGUAGCCGACCUGAGAGGGUGAUCGGCCACACUGGGACUGAGACACGGCCCAGACACCUACGGGAGGCAGCAGUAGGGAAUCUUCCGCAAUGGACGAAAGUCUGACGGAGCAACGCCGCGUGAGCGAUGAAGGCCUUCGGGUCGUAAAGCUCUGUUGUUAGGGAAGAACAAGUAUCGGAGUAACUGCCGGUACCUUGACGGUACCUAACCAGAAAGCCACGGCUAACUACGUGCCAGCAGCCGCGGUAAAAC